CAGUGUUCUGAGUACUAUACAGUCAUUUAAUUCAGUCAUCACAACCACCAUACAAGGAAGAUAAUGGUAUUCCAUGUUUUAAUCAUAGAAUAAGUUACUAAGAUAGUAAUUUCUGAGAUAUUUUAUGUACACAAUGAAAUGAACAGAAAAUGGCUUUGUCUAAACCUUUUCUUGAUUUUGUACUUAAUUUAAUGACCAAGUAAAACUUUUGAACUACAAGCACAGGUAAGAAAAGCUACCAAGCUCACCGGUGAAGGCGCGCAUUCAGUGGUCGCGACCUCCUGGCUGGGAUGAUCCGCACUCCCAGGGGAGGUAGGGGAGCUGAGCCGGAGCCAUGGCCAGUACAGUGGUAGCAGUUGGACUAACCAUUGCUGCUGUAGGAUUUGCAGGUCGUUACAUUUUGCAAGCCAUGAAGCAUAUGGAGCCUCAAGUAAAACAAGUUUUUCAGAGUCUGCCAAAAUCUGCCUUUAGUGGUGGCUAUUACAGAGGUGGGUUUCAACCCAAAAUGACAAAACGGGAAGUAGCAUUAACACUAGGUGUAAGCCCUACUGCCAAUAAAGGGAAAAUAAGAGAUGCUCAUCAACGAAUUAUGCUCUUAAAUCACCCAGACAAAGGAGGAUCUCCUUAUAUAGCAGCCAAAAUCAAUGAAGCUAAAGAUUUACUAGAAGGUCAAGCUAAAAAAUGAAGUAAACUUAUAAUGAAUUUUAAGUUCAUAUUAGUUUAUGUAUAUGAGUGCCAACUUUUUAUAAUAAAAUGCCUCAGAGGUUCAGUUUUUAAAAUGA